rnacentral:rRNA from 1 species
AGUGAACGCUGGCGGUAGGCCUAACACAUGCAAGUCGAACGGCAGCACAGUAAGAGCUUGCUCUUACAGGUGGCGAGUGGCGGACGGGUGAGGAAUACAUCGGAAUCUACUUUUUCGUGGGGGAUAACGUAGGGAAACUUACGCUAAUACCGCAUACGACCUACGGGUGAAAGCAGGGGAUCUUCGGACCUUGCGCGAUUGAAUGAGCCGAUGUCGGAUUAGCUAGUUGGCGGGGUAAAGGCCCACCAAGGCGACGAUCCGUAGCUGGUCUGAGAGGAUGAUCAGCAACACUGGAACUGAGACACGGUCCAGACUCCUACGGGAGGCAGCAGUGGGGAAUAUUGGACAAUGGGCGCAAGCCUGAUCCAGCCAUACCGCGUGGGUGAAGAAGGCCUUCGGGUUGUAAAGCCCUUUUGUUGGGAAAGAAAAGCAGCAGGUUAAUACCCCGCUGUUCUGACGGUACCCAAAGAAUAAGCACCGGCUAACUUCGUG